GACGAACGCUGGCGGCGUGCUUAACACAUGCAAGUCGAACGGUAAGGCCCUUCGGGGUACACGAGUGGCGAACGGGUGAGUAACACGCGGGUGAUCUGCCCUGCACUUCGGGCUAAGCCUGGGCAACUGGGUCUAAUACCGGAUAGGACCACUGCCUGCAUGGGUGGUGGUGGAAAGCUUUUGCGGUGUGGGAUGGGCCCGCGGCCUAUCAGCUUGUUGGUGGGGUGAUGGCCUACCAAGGCGACGACGGGUAGCCGGCCUGAGAGGGUGACCGGCCACACUGGGACUGAGAUACGGCCCAGACUCCUACGGGAGGCAGCAGUGGGGAAUAUUGCACAAUGGGCGCAAGCCUGAUGCAGCGACGCCGCGUGAGGGAUGACGGCCUUCGGGUUGUAAACCUCUUUCAGCACCGACGAAGCGCAAGUGACGGUAGGUGCAGAAGAAGGACCGGCCAACUACGUGCCAGCCGCCGCAGUAA
rnacentral:rRNA from 1 species